UACAGAGGGUGCGAGCGUUGUCCGGAAUCACUGGGCGUAAAGGGCGCGUAGGUGGCUCUAUAAGUCGGGGGUGAAAUGCUGCGGCUCAACCGCAGCGCUGCCUCCGAGACUGUAGGGCUCGAGCACGGUAGAGGCCGAUGGAAUUCCCGGUGUAGCGGUGGAAUGCGUAGAGAUCGGGAAGAACACCUGAGGCGAAGGCGGGCUACUGGGCCGAUACUGACGCUGAUGUGCGAAAGCCAGGGGAGCGAACGGG
rnacentral:rRNA from 1 species